AGCAGCCGCGGUAAUUCCAGCUCCAAUAGCGUAUAUUAAAGUUGUUGCAGUUAAAAAGCUCGUAGUUGAAUUUCGGGAUUGACACAUCGGUCGUGCCUUAAGGGGUAUGAACUGGUGUAGUCAAUUUCUCACCUUCUGGAGAACCGCGAUGUCCUUAAUUGGGUGCCGCGAGGAACCAGGACCUUUACUUUGAAAAAAUUAGAGUGUUUAAAGCAGGCAUUUUUGCUUGAAUACAUUAGCAUGGAAUAAUAAAAUAGGACGGCAUGAUUCUAUUUUGUUGGUUUCUAGGAUCACCGUAAUGAUUAAUAGGGAUAGUUGGGGGCAUUAGUAUUCAAUUGUCAGAGGUGAAAUUCUUGGAUUUAUUGAAGACUAACUACUGCGAAAGCAUUUGCCAAGGAUGUUUUCAUUAAUCAAGAACGAAAGUUAGGGGAUCGAAGACGAUCAGAUACCGUCGUAGUCUUAACCAUAAACUAUGCCGACUAGGAAUCAGACGAUGUUAAUUUUUUCAAUGACUCGUUUG
rnacentral:rRNA from 1 species